rnacentral:tRNA from 1 species
CGUUGUGGCUCAAUGACAGAACAUCUGUUUGGCAUGCAGAAGGUCACAGGUUCAAACUCUAGCAGCUCCUGUCAAAAGGA